GAUGAACGCUGGCGGCGUGCCUAAUACGUGCAAGUCGAGCGGACGGACGCGUAGCUUUCUUCUGUGAUGGUAGGGGCGGCCGAGUGAGUAACACGUGGAUAACCUCCCUCUCAGUCUUUGAGAACUUCGGGAAACCGGAGCUAAUACCACGGGAUAUUUUGGACCUCAUGGUUGAAAGGUGUGAGACGGUUUUUGUUUCACUUGUAGAUGGGUCCGCGCCGCAUUAGCUUGUUGGUAGGGUAACGGCGUACCAAGGCGACGAUGCGUAGCCGACCUGAGAGGGUGAUCGGCGGCCACGGAAGUGAGAAACGGUCCAGACGACUACGGGAGGCAGCAGUAGGGAAGAUUACGCAAUGGUCGGAAGCCUGACGGAGCAACGCCGCGUGGGGGAGGAAGGUCGUCGGAGCGUAAAAAUCUGCUUUUAGGGAAGAAGAUAUGUGGAAUCGACUGUGCACAGCUUGACGGUACCUAGUCAGAAAGCGACGGCUAACUACGUG
rnacentral:rRNA from 1 species